ACUCCUACGGGAGGCAGCAGUAGGGAAUCUUCCACAAUGGACGAAAGUCUGAUGGAGCAACGCCGCGUGAACGAUGAAGGCUUUCGGGUCGUAAAGUUCUGUUGUAAGGGAAGAACAAGUGCCGCAGGCAAUGGCGGCACCUUGACGGUACCUUGCGAGAAAGCCACGGCUAACUACGUGCCAGCAGCCGCGGUAAUACGUAGGUGGCAAGCGUUGUCCGGAAUUAUUGGGCGUAAAGCGCGCGCAGGCGGCCUCUUAAGUCUGAUGUGAAAGCCCCCCGGCUCAACCGGGGAGGGCCAUUGGAAACUGGGAGGCUUGAGUAUAGGAGAGAAGAGUGGAAUUCCACGUGUAGCGGUGAAAUGCGUAGAGAUGUGGAGGAACACCAGUGGCGAAGGCGACUCUUUGGCCUAUAACUGACGCUGAGGCGCGAAAGCGUGGGAGCAAACAGGAUUAGAUACCCCUGGUAGCGACUGA
rnacentral:rRNA from 1 species